GCCAGUGUGGCAUAGUGCUUGGUGCGUUGGACUAGGACUCUGGGAGACCAGGAUUCGAAUCCUGGCUUGGCCA